UACAGAGGUCUCAAGCGUUGUUCGGAUUCAUUGGGCGUAAAGGGUGUGUAGGUGGCGCGCUAAGUCGGGUGUGAAAUUUCGGAGCUUAACUCCGAAACUGCAUUCGAUACUGGCGUGCCUGAGGACUGGAGAGGAGACUGGAAUUUACGGUGUAGCAGUGAAAUGCGUAGAUAUCGUAAGGAAGACCAGUGGCGAAGGCGGGUCUCUGGACAGUUCCUGACACUGAGGCACGAAGGCCAGGGGAGCAAACGGG
rnacentral:rRNA from 1 species